UACACACCGCCCGUCACAUCACGAAAGUCGGUUGCACUAGAAGUCGGUGGGCCAACCCGCAAGGGAGGCAGCCGCCUAAAGUGUGAUCGGUAAUUGGGGUGAAGUCGUAAACAAGGUACC
rnacentral:rRNA from 1 species